rnacentral:rRNA from 1 species
GAUGAACGCUGGCGGCGUGCCUAAUACAUGCAAGUCGAGCGAACAGACGAGGAGCUAGCUCCUUUGACGUUAGCGGCGGACGGGUGAGUAACACGUAGGUAACCUACCUAUAAGACUGGGAUAACUUCGGGAAACCGGAGCUAAUACCGGAUAAUAUUUCGAACCGCAUGGUUCGAUAGUGAAAGAUGGCUUUGCUAUCACUUAUAGAUGGACCUGCGCCGUAUUAGCUAGUUGGUAAGGUAACGGCUUACCAAGGCAACGAUACGUAGCCGACCUGAGAGGGUGAUCGGCCACACUGGAACUGAGACACGGUCCAGACUCCUACGGGAGGCAGCAGUAGGGAAUCUUCCGCAAUGGGCGAAAGCCUGACGGAGCAACGCCGCGUGAGUGAUGAAGGUCUUCGGAUCGUAAAACUCUGUUAUUAGGGAAGAACAAACGUGUAAGUAACUGUGCACGUCUUGACGGUACCUAAUCAGAAAGCCACGGCUAACUACGUG